CGCCGCAUGAGCCGAGCCAAGAGACUCGGCCAAAACGGGAACGGACGUCGUCCGCACGAAGCGUAGAACGCUUUGUUUUCGGGGCAAAUAGAGGUCGGGGACCUCGUACCGCAUCGGUCUUCCGCAUCCGAGAGAUCGAGCAUAACGACAUGGACCAACGACCGACGAGCGCCCGAGAGCGCACGGAUCGUGGAACACGGCGAAUGCUUCGGCGUCCACCCAACACCGCAGCCACAAAGGGCGCAGCACAAGGAGGAAAGGGACAUUCGGACCACAACAUGCCUUCUCGAUAGGUAUACAACACAGGAAACCGUCGUCGGUCAAGGCAAUCCGCAACUUGAGCCAACAAUUGAAGAGGCGUGCACGAGAUGCCGUCGCUGCCCGAGCA
rnacentral:misc_RNA from 1 species